rnacentral:lncRNA from 1 species
AGAUACGCCUGUCGAGAGAGAUGAGGCAGAGAAGAAAGAUUGGAUCAGAAAUCCCAGAAACCCUAAUCGGGGAGGAGAAAGAAUCAGAAGAAGGACGAUUCUUCGCCUGCUAUCUGUUGAGCUCUCGCAGCCCCCGCUACAAAGGCCACACUUAUAUUGGGUACCUUCCAUCUUCCCCCAAUUUUUUUUUUUUUUUUUUUCAAGUUCUCAAUCUGUUCAGAAUAAUCAGAUCAAUCUUGAUUUGAACAUCGUUGAUCUGAACUUCUUUAAAGUUUGAGACUUACUUUUAGAGCUUGGAUCAAUAAGAGAACCCAUUUUAACUCUGUCUUUUUGUGUGCUUAUUUGGGCGAUGCUGAUACAGAUUCACAGUGAACCCACGGCGUCGUAUAAGACAGCACAAUGGUGAAAUAGCUCAAGGUGCUUGGAGAACGAAGCGGAAGCGUCCAUGGGAGAUGGUCUUGUGCAUCUAUGGUUUCCCAACUAAUGUUUCUGCUCUCCAGGUCUCUUCAUUUCUUUCUUUUCAAUUACUUGUCUAUGCAUUGCUCUGUAUGAUCUGUCUAUGUUCUUAAUUUGAUUGAUUGUGACCAAAUUAGAUACAAAUUUCUUGAGAAUUAUGUAUCAUUUGAGGAUAUUUCCAACUUGGUUGGGACCCAUCUUGAGUUGGCACCAAUUCUAGGAUCAAUUUGGACCUGGUUAAAAUUUGAUUAAUUGGGAUUGAAGGUUUUGUUUAUUAUUUUAGGAUUGAUAUUAAUUGGAAAUUUGGGACCUUCUUUCUAAUAUUCCCUUUGGAACUUUGCAGUUUGAAUGGGCCUGGCAGAACCCAACUGUAUCAAAGGCAGUUAGGCAGGCUGCUGCAAGCUUUAAAUCCCUGGGAGGGCUUGUCAGCAAGAUCAAACUUGCAUACACCAUGCUCACCCUCCCUCCUUGGCAGAGGUAUCAUCUUAUUCUCUUCCUCGUGAGUUGUGAAUGGAUGAAUAUAUAUACAUAUGCUUUUGCUGUUAUUGAUGGAAAGUGAUAUUGUUUCUAUGUAUCAUCAGCUUGAACAUCACUGUAAACUUCUUUUCAACCCAGUACACCAAACAUUCUGCUGGUUGUCUACGCCUGCCGGAACAGAUGAAGGUCAAAGUCUGCUCCAUGGAUGAGCUUCCUUCCUGUACCAAAAUAUCUGAUGACCUUUUUGAAAAUGAAGAUGAGUGGUGUAAUGAAAGGGAAUUUGAUGAACAUAUGAAUACCAGUACACUACACGAAGAAAUAAUGUCGGACCACAUGGCUCAUAAUUCAACAGAUGAUCAGCAGAAUGAUAGUGGCAAAAGAAUUAAUGAAGUAUGCAGUAAAGAAGUAGGAGGAGAUGAGUGGUAUAAUGGAAGAGAAUGUGAUGAAGCUGUGAAUGAUGGUACGUUACAGGAAGAAACAUUAUCAGAUCUUAUAGUUCAAAGUUCAGCAGAUGAUCAGCAGGAUAAUACUGGCAAGACAAUUAACAAAGCAUAUCGAUGCAGUCAAGAAGUAGGAGAGGAUUGUACAGAGCAAUUUGGUUUUAUCGCAUCGCCAAUGAGAAUGCCAUCUUCAAAUGUCACUACCUCAUUUGACACAGAAGUAACUAAAGAUACAGGAUCUGCUGAUGCCAUUAGUGUUAAAUUGGGCCGACCUGCAAUGGAACAAUUGGAACAAUUGACAACUAUAGUUGCAGACGAUGAUCAAUCGCCCAGCAGAAGCUAUCUCCGGCCUUGUGGAGCUGAGGUAAUAGAUUUGACAACGCCAGCUCCCCUAUGCAGAAGCCAUUUAUGUGGCAAGAAGAGUAGAGUUGCUUCUGUUUAUCCUCAGAUUAUUGACUUGACUAAGUCUCCCAAUUUCAUCCAACUAUAGAAUGUUGGACUUGGACAUGUAUACUACAACAAUCAAACAAGUUUAUAUAUGUUUGAUGAUUUUAUGGUUUGGUCGAAUAAUUUAGAGGAAUUUAUUGUCAUCUUUGCCAGAUGGCACAUUGUAAUCACAAUAGUAAUGGCCUUCUAAUUCAAGUCUCAC